UACAGAGGGUGCAAGCGUUGUCCGGAAUUAUUGGGCGUAAAGAGCUCGUAGGCGGUCUGUCGCGUCGAUCGUGAAAACUUGGGGCUUAACCCUGAGCUUGCGGUCGAUACGGGCAUGACUGGAGUUCGGCAGGGGAGACUGGAAUUCCUGGUGUAGCGGUGAAAUGCGCAGAUAUCAGGAGGAACACCGGUGGCGAAGGCGGGUCUCUGGGCCGAUACUGACGCUGAGGAGCGAAAGCGUGGGGAGCGAACAGG
rnacentral:rRNA from 1 species